UGCACAGCUGUGCAGUUUGGUGCAAAGACAACAACUCACUGCUCAGUGUCAACACAUGUUGGAGCUAAUGGUCAGACAGCAGGAGAGUUUACUUCAUGAUCCAGUGUGGCAGGUGAACUUCAUUUAACUUCCCAGCAGUGACUGUGACGUCCAUCAGAGGACCUGCAGGCAUGUAUUGUCUGCUCUCCAUCCUCUCCAUGUGUCCGUUUUUUACAUAUUUAUUUGUUUUUGACUUUAUUUGGUUCCUGAGGUGAUACCUGAUAAUCUCUGCACCAGAUUCUGCUCAUCUUCAUUAAAGCCUUUCUGGUCACCUCCACA